GUCUAUAAGAUAACUGAAGGUUACAAUAGAAAAAUCCAGAUGUUAGCCUGAAAGCUAGCAAAAACAUGGGAAAAUAAGGUAGGAAGGAAGCUUGUUAAAAAUGAGAAUAAAAUGACGAGUAAAUUAAUUACAAAAAAAAAAGAAAGAAAAAAGAAAAAGAACAAAAUACAUUUCUAGAAGUAGCUUUAAAAAAGAAAGACCGUAGCAACGUAAAUAAAUGAAACUAGGGGAACUUCAGGCAGCAGCCAGGGCUACAAGUGUAAACACAGUCUAGGAAUUCACACAAGAAUGAUGUGAACUGAUCAGAUUUCUUUAUGACAAACUGACAUAGCAUACACACACUGUGGCUAUUUUUAGCCACUGUCGAUCUUUCCUGUUUUUCUGUGGACAAAUGUGUUCCUGACACUGUUGGGUUUAAGAAAUAAAAGUUAUUGCAGCGCUUUUGAAACUGAUGCAAGAACGAUCAAGCUUCACAAUACGACGGAUGACAUGAGGAACCAGUUGGCAGAGACGGAGAAGUCGAUGAAAAAAAAAAUCAAUCUUCAACCUCUGCCUUCUCCUCUUCCCUCUCCUCGCCCAUCUUGUGCCUUCUCUACUUGAUCGGACACGCAUACGACACGUAUGACAUCGAUAUGUGUACAAUCACAAACUCUCUCUACUUCUACACAUGGACAUUGAACGCCUGACCAUUAUUGUCCCUUGCAGUCAAUCAAUGAUGGCCACACCAUGUGGUGUUCAUCACUUCCUGGAAUCUAUCAUGUGGCACACUCACCGAUUUCUUCAGAUGAUUUUUUACAUAUUUUAAACCAUCGUCCAAAUGAUCGAUUGUAAACAAAAUAAAUAAAAACAAACUUGUGGUUGACUGCACAGAAAACUGAUAAAUAAGUAAAUAAAAACAAACUGAUGCCGUCUGUACAGUAAAUGAGACCAUUUCUAUUUUGGCCAUACUUUCAUUAUUCUCAUGUAACAUGAUGUAGAUUGUGGAUAAGAAAUUGUAUCUAGACCUGAGGCUGUGAUCAAUACAGUUUGUGCUACGAUUGAUCUCAGUUUCAGCGUAGCUAAAUUUAGGCGCUGAAGCACUUUUAUCAAGAAGACAUUCCACUUGUAUGGUCACACCUAAAAAAACACAUUCAGGGAAAUAAUAAUAAUUAUAAAAAAGUGUACACCAUUACAAUAAAAUGCCAGUUUAUGCAAAAUUUAAAACAUUUAAAUCAGUUGGUCAACAGUAGUAAACAGGCCCGAGUAAGUUACUGAGUACAGUUACAGGGUGACUGACAGAGAUUAGAUUUUAGAGAAAUUAGAGAAUUAUCAUAUUGUUUAUUAGCAUUACUUUUAUUAUACUUUAGGGUCAAAUGCAGUUUCGUUUGUUUGUCUUGUUUUCUUCUAAGGGAAGGGAAUAUAAACGUCAUUUAAAAAAAACACUGUCGUUUUAUGAUGUUUAAAACAGCGCCCCUCUAAAUGUUACGUGGUGAAUCGGCGUUCAAAACGUGGUACUGCACCCUGUCGUCUGAGGUGAGGCCGGGCUGAGUUUGCUUGGUUCCCUUGGACAUUUUCCCCACGCCACCCUCUGGUCAAAUGAGACUGCAGCAAUUAAUGGGAAGCACUGCACACUAGUUACUGGGUUUAGUUUCCCCCCAGUUUGUCCCAGAAAUGUCCCUGAGCAGCUGGAGAAGAAUGUGGAGGAAAGAGAAACUACUGGCAGGAGGAAGAAGAGGAACAAAAGGAAUAUCAGGAGACUUCAUGAUGCUCUGUCAACAGCAGCUUAGCCUGAUGCUAACGUGUGAGUGACUUCCUGGAGCGAGCUGCAGAGGAAACAUGGAGUUCCAUCUCCUCAGUCUUUGAGGUCCACUUGACAUUGGGCCAGAGGCGAUGUACAGCCCGGACAGGUGGUCAGUCCAUAACGAGGACAGCCCCCAGAGAUAAGCAAGUUACAUCUACAGCUGUGGUGAGUUUCAAAUCAGAUACACAUUUUUAACCUGCUUGUUUUUUUUCUUCACCGACGUAUCUCUUAUCCACACACAUGCUCCCUAAAUCGGUUUGGAGUGGUAACAACGUAGAAUCUACAGAGACAGACACGGUUUUAAAUCAAUGGCUAAACGUUUUGUUAUGCUGUCAGUAUUUCCCAGCGUCUUCGUUGUCAAAGCUGUUCAUUUUUGCAUGAUACCGCCAUCUGUCUUGGAGUUGUUUCCAACUGAAAUGUGUUUCCCUUGAAAGUCACCUUGGGGCGGUGGUUCCCAAACUGGGGGUGGCAAAAUCAUUCAUCCAAAGUAAUUUUACUUUUUUUGUUUUUAAUUUGGUGCAUGGUGGGAAAGUUGCAUGAUUCAUGAUUUCUAGUUACAUUCCUUUUGGAAACUGUAUCAGUUGUGUAGGAUUUGAUGGAUCGAUGUGGGCGCAACAACAAAAGGGAGUGCCUUAGAAAAUGUAGGAAAUAAAUAUUAGAUAAUCUAUGGUAUAAUUGGUCAAUGUACAUGACGAUGAAUGCGCUGUGUCAUGUUGUACCAGUUUAUAUAACAGGUGUUUCAGUGAAAUGUGAUGGUAGCUUUAGCUUAGCCCCUUUCUUCCCUGUAUCACAUAAAUCAAAGCCCUGAGGUUUGUGGGUUUUAACAUGGUUUAAAUCACAUUAGAUUCACACUGUUGAAGAUCAUUUAGACAUAACAACACAAAGGAGCCUGUAAGUACUCGGUGAUCCUUCAUCGGCCCUGGUGGCUCAUUAAUCUGACUCCACAUGAUUAUGACAAUCAUUUGAUUAUCAUGUCCAUAUAAAUUGCUAUCUUAAUCUUUGCUAAUCUAAGGUUUUAAGUCCUGACCCGCGGUGGAAACAAUGGCCUGCUGGGAACAGCUACACACCAGAGCUGAUUAUGAAGCCAGUCUGUUACAGUGUGUUGCUGAAUAUGUUUGAAAUUCUUGUUGAAUCCUUAUUUGAGAGGUUUGCGCCUGUUUGGUCGGAUGGGUGUGAAAUAUGUGUUCGUUUUCGUCCAAUUUAACAAGUGGCAUAUGAUUUUUGUUUUUCAUGUAUGCAGUAUAGAUCAGAUUUUUCACUCAUCUAUCACAAUAAAAUACCCUAAUUAGUCAGACAACUAGUCAAUGAGAUAAAAAUAUUAUCUUGGAGUAGAUAUAAACAGAUACCUCAGGGU